rnacentral:rRNA from 1 species
AACGAACGCUGGCGGCAGGCUUAACACAUGCAAGUCGAACGCGUGUAGCAAUACACGAGUGGCGCACGGGUGAGUAACGCGUGGAUAUCUGCCUUUUGGUUCGGAAUAACCCCGGGAAACUGGGGCUAAUACCGGAUGGUUCCUUCGGGAUAAAGAUUUAUCGCCAAAAGAUGAGUCCGCGUCCGAUUAGCUAGUUGGUGAGGUAAUGGCUCACCAAGGCGACGAUCGGUAGCUGGUCUGAGAGGACGAUCAGCCACACUGGGACUGAGACACGGCCCAGACUCCUACGGGAGGCAGCAGUGGGGAAUCUUGCGCAAUGCGCGAAAGCGUGACGCAGCAACGCCGCGUGGGGGAAGAAGGCCUUCGGUU